GCCGGAAAUCUUACCGGGACCGACAGCAAUAUGAAGGCCAGGCUGAAGACUUUGCCGGAUUAGCUGAGAGGGUGUGCAUGGCCGUCGUCAGUUCGUACUGUGAAGCAUCCUGUAAGUCAGGCAACAAGCGAGACCCACGCCCACAGUUGCCAGCGUACUCUCUGGAGUGACGGGUACACUGUGGGACCGCCGCUGCUAAAGCGGAGGAAGGAAUGGGCAACGGUAGGUCAGUAUGCCCCGAAUAUCCCGGGCUACACGCGAGCUACAAUGGUUGGUACAAUGGGUAUCUACCCCGAAAGGGGACGGGAAUCUCCUAAAACCAAUCUUAGUUCGGAUUGAGGGCUGCAACUCGCCCUCAUGAAGCUGGAAUCCGUAGUAAUCGCGUUUCAACAGAACGCGGUGAAUACGUCCCUGCUCCUU
rnacentral:rRNA from 1 species